rnacentral:rRNA from 1 species
GACGAACGCUGGCGGCGUGCCUAAUACAUGCAAGUUGAGCGCUCAAGGUUGGUGCUUGUUCCUCCUGGAUGAGCAGCGGACGGGUGAGUAACGCGUGGGGAAUCUGCCUAUGAGCGGGGGAUAACUUUGGGAAACCAGUGCUAAUACCGCAUAAUACAUUUAACCACAUGUUUCAAUAUUGAAAGAUGCAUUUGCUGCCCCUAAUAAAUUACCCCGGUUCGAUUUGUUUGUUGGGUAGGUAAAGGGCUACCCAGGGCAUCGAACAUACCCCACCUGGAAGGGUGAUAGGCCAAAAUGGGAAUGGGACACGGCCCAAGCUCCUACGGGAGGCAGCAGUAGGGGAUCCUCGGCAAUGGAGGAAAGUCUGACCGGGCAACGGCGCGGGAGUGAAGGAGGUUUUCGGAUCGUAAAACUCCGUUGGUAGGGAAGAACGUUAGGGAGAGUGGAAAGCGCAUCAAGUGACGGUAACUACUCAGAAAGGGACGGCUAACUACGUG